CAUUCCCAAAUAUGUAAUAAGACUAAUCAACAAGAAGAAAGAAUUAGAAAGAAAGAAUUUCAUAACAAAAUGUGUUGUAAAGCUUGCCAGAAUGACAUUAAGAAAAUAAUGCAAAUGUUAAUUACAAUCCAACAACUGUUGCUGAGUGAACAUCCUUCUUCCAUACAAGAGAAUACUACAAAUUUGAAUCUGCCAAUUGCAACACCUUGAGCGCUAGAAGAAUUUAAUAAAUUAAUAUAAUAAACACAAGAUCGUGUAUCUUUGCUCCAAUAUAAAAAAAUAAUUUCCACUUUGGAAGGGAAGAAUGCAGAACAACAUGUACGAAAUGCAUUAAAAUGCACUUUGACUGACACUUUGGCUUAUCAAACGUCAUGGACAGGACAAAAAAAUACUAUCCAAACAAGAGGCAUGAAAUUUGUUGACAUCAUUAUAG